GCGGGGCCUGCCGCCGCCACCGCCUCAGGGAAGAGGAAGGAGGCCGCGGCUUCGCGUCCCGCCUCUCGCCUGGCUGGCCGUGGGGGGCCUGGACGCAGUGGCCUCCCGAAUCUCCCAGGACCCUAAUAUCGCCCGAGGAUGCUGGGAGGAACGCUGAGCCGACCUCUCCGUUAGGCUGAAGAUUGCACAAACCAUGCUAAUGGCCAGCAUGGAUGGAGGGAGCGUGUGAGAUGUGUGGGGCAGCGUGCUGCAUCUCAGCCAACUCCAGGAGCCAGUUGAUGUGAUGGACUACCUUAAUUGAUUUUUGAAUGUUGAGCCAGCCUUAUGCAUGUGGGAUAAACCCCUGUUGAUCAUGGACAUUUUUAAAUUCUAGGUAUAGAGCAAUAAAAGAAGAAUUCAAGCAAAGGGAUCAGGAAGAGGAUUGCUACUAAGAGGCAGAGAAACCAAUGAAGCCUUUUGCCAUCUCACACUGGAAAGACAAAAAGUCAUAGAGGCUUGAUUUUUAUAAGGAAAGAGAAGUGAGAAACUGACCUCGAUACUUUGUUGGACUUGCCUAAAGACAUUUGCUGAAUUCUCGGGCUGUGCUGGGAUGGAGAUUAGAGGCCAAAUAAAAACCUCUGGAAGCAUGCUCAUGGCAAUACCCGGAGUCUCCACUGCAAGACCAGAGUGACGGAGGCAGCAGAGCUCCUCAGCAGGCCAGGAGUCUCCAGAGGCACUGCCGAAUGUCUAAGAAGCAACCUCAUUGUAUUCCCAAGACCUGGGAAUCCAGGUCUCGCAGAUACGAUGAUACAAUCUAUAGCCAGGACAUCUCUUCAUGUGUAGGAUAAGCAACUAUCCCAGUCUUCCCAGGAUUGAGGGGCUUCUCCAGAUGCUGCACUUCUGGUGCUAAAAAUGAGAAACUGAAAUGAAUUAGUCACCCAAGGAAUGCUGACCCUGUGCUAUAUGAUCACAUUUACUCUUUAAAGCAAUGCUUUGAGAACAAUUGAGCUGCAUAGUCCCUGCAAUCUUAUAAAGGCAUUUGGCCUGGAAGAUGCUCUGCAGCCAUGUGCCAAGAAUAACGGCUAUAGGGACAAUGUUUCAUUAACCCCAAAGCAGCAACCUGAACCUCUUACUGUACAAUAUCUGCUCCGUUCAGAAUUAGCUCGACUUGAGUCACAGGAUGAAGCUUACCAAAAGGAAUUUCCACGUCCAAGGAAGGAACCAAGAUCACUGAGAGGUUAUAGUAUGAAAAGUGAAGAGAAAAAACCUAUUCUAAACAUUUUAUUAAUUGUCAAUAAUUAUUUUAAAAUAUUUAAUAUAGUCUCCUACCUGGUCCACUGGCAUCAAGCUGCCAAAUUUACACGGUCACUUUGGGAAGCCAGCUGGCAGGCAAACAUGGAAAGUGCUGGCUCCUAGCGUAGUGAGAAGACCACAGAUAGAUGGUAAUUUUCUUCUUUGUUUUAUUUUUCUUUUUCUUCUCUCCCUCUUUUUCUUCCCUCUUGCCUUUCCCUCCCAUUGCCCACUUUCUUUUUUUGGCUGCCGAAGAUUUAUUGCCUUUCAGUACUUAUAGAUGAUGUUUUCAUAAGUUCUAAUGAGGUCCCAGCAGUUUUUAACAAUAACAGGACAUUACUGUUCCUAAGAUAUAUUAUGUGUUUUCCCUCAUCUUUCUCCCUUGAAUGAAAUGCUUAGAAGUAGGCUAACCCCCAAUUCCCUUCCCUUUACUAUGAUAAAUGGCUCCAUUACUUAAUAGGGCUAAAUACUCUGCUGUGACUUUUAUACUGCUGAUUUGAAUAAAAUCUUACGAAAAGCUUUUCUCGUGU
rnacentral:lncRNA from 1 species